rnacentral:rRNA from 1 species
UCUGGGAGUAAACGGGUGGUACCCGAAAGUUCGAAAGGGGAGAUUCAAGUCUCGCCGCGCGCCGGGCGGCGGACGCGACCAGAGAUGGUGUUUUCGCGGUCGAGGGGCAACUCUCGUCCCGGAGGCUCCACUCCGCGGCCGCCGUCUGUCCCGGCGUCGGAGUGACGCACUUCUCCCCGAGUAGGACGUCGCGACCCGUCGAGCGCCGGUCUAAGGUUCCGGGUGGAGUCUGUGCAGUCUGUUUCGGCCGACUGCGCACGACCCCGGGAAUCCCGGCCGGGUGCACGACGGUACGAAGCAUGGAAGGAGUCGACGCGCCACCAGUUGGCGUCCGGCCCUCCGCAAGCGCCCGCGGGAGUUCUGGUUGCAGGCCUGGCCUGAUUCCGUUCCCUCCGCGGGGCUGUUUGCGACCAGGAGGUGUCCUCGGACGGCGUUGAUUCUCCAGUCGGCGACGCUUCAGCUUGGAUGGCCUACCCGACCC